rnacentral:rRNA from 1 species
AUUGAACGCUGGCGGCAGGCUUAACACAUGCAAGUCGAGCGAGCCGCGGACGGGCGAGUAAUUUCUGGGAAACUGCCUGAUGGAGGGGGAUAACUACUUGAAACGGUAGCUAAUACCAUAUACCAUCAUAUGUGCCCAGAUGGGAUUAGCUAGUAGGUGGGGUAAUGGCUCACCUAGGCGAAGAUCCCUAGCUGGGCUGAGAGGAUGACCAGCCACAAUGGAACUGAGACACGGGCCAGACUCCUAAGGGAGGCAGCAGUGGGGAAUAUUGCGCAAUGGGCGCAAGCCUGAUGCAGCCAUGCCGCGUGUGUGAAGAAGGCCUUCGGGUUGUAAAGCACUUUCAGCGAGGAGGCGUUACUCGCAGAAGAAGCACCGGCUAACUCCGUGCCAGCAGCCGCGGUAAUUC